UCUGGUGGCCAUAGCAGAGAGGAACCACCCGGUCCCAUUCCGAACCCGGAAGUGAAACUCUCUAGCGCCGAUGGUAGUGGGACG
rnacentral:rRNA from 1 species